UGAGCCACCAUGACUGGCCUCAGUGAUAUUUUGUGCUCUUUAUGGUGGAGCUGUGGUCCCAGCCUAACUUGCAGAACUUCGGCUGUCUCCAGGGCACACUGUCCAUCUGCUUCCUUCAGAAGGAGCAGAGACAGUGCCAUGGAUGUAGUGAUGGGUGACAGGCUGGCUCCCCUUGAGACAUGAGUCUAGAAGAUUAGUGGAAGAAAUCCACUCUGCUUCCUUUGACAUGAGGCUACAAAGAGAACUUGCCUUUAACUCCUUUUCCUUAGAAGCUGAGAAGGUAGUUUGAGGUUGGGACUUGGUCUAGAAGCACACGGGGAGGUGGUCUAGGCUUCACAUAGCUGGGCCCACACUGAGUGGUGCUGACUCUACCCUGUUCUUUCUCCUUCAAAAAACAGUGGCCAGUGAGCCAGAAACCUGAGAUUGAGUUGUUGAGGAAAAGGCUCACAGCCUUUUUAAUACUUACAAGGCUAUUAUUACAACUAAGUUUUUGUUUACUCUGGUAUUUCUCUCCAGGAAAGAAGCCAUAAGUCUUAUCUGACCAAAGAGAUGAUUUUGAAACACCCAUUUAAUGUCUUAGCGUUUAUUUGUACCAGUUGCACUGAAGUAAAUACCACUAAUUUAUGUAAAUUUAUCUUUCCAUGCUUCUGUUAUCUCUCAGGAAAAAACAUCCUCCCAGGCCAGAUUUAAUGUUGUUACAGCAUUUUUAGGUUUGAAAAUGAAUUAAAUAUAUUUCUAGUAUUUUUAGUUAUUCAUUGCAGAUUAUAGUUUGACUUUUGGCCUUUGUCCGAGGACAAAGCCUGGAGAGAAGAGAUUCAAUGACCCUGAAUAUUAUUGUUUUAUUUUUAGAGCUCUUGAUAUGAAACUAUUGUUUAUCCCUUUGGGUACAUGAAAAAAAAAAAAAA